rnacentral:lncRNA from 1 species
GUCUUUGGGGUGGCUGAGUAGCUAUGAAAGCAAUUUCAGUGCCAGCUGUCAGAUAAAGCAAACUCAAUUCCUGUCCUGUAAUGAUGAGGUGGCUAUUGCAGCAUACGUUUAUAGAUGUGUGUGGGCGUGGCAUUUCCUUCCUACAAUGACUUAGAACAUCUAUGCUCCUGGCACCCUGAAGAACCACAAUCAACCUUUCGGAGACUCUUCCACGUCUUAAGGCAGGGUCUCCCGGUGUCCAGACUGACUCUGAACUCAGAAUGAUUGUCCAUCUUUCUGCCACGGGUUCCCCAAUGUAAUUCUGGAAUCACAGGGCUAUUAUAAGAAGUGGAACGAAGAAUAGUGCCCUUGCAGCAGUAACAAGAAGAAGAAAACCCACCUGAAGCUGCAUCAUCUUGAAUCAUGGCAUCCAUAAAGUACAAUGAAGUUAGAGAUGUACCCUUCUAUCAAAAGCUCACAGCAUGUAUGUGUGUGCUGAGCAUCCAGCUCAUAGCUCUAUUUGAUUUCACUUAUAUUUAUCACCAGGUGCUCAGUGAAGAAAUGCUGUGAGCUCUUUUUAAGAAAGGAAAAGAAAAGAAAAGAAAAAGAAGAGAAAAGAAAAAGAAGAGAAAAAAGAGAAAAGAAAGGGAAAGAAAAAGGCUACUUCAAAACAGUGUGGAUGGCAGGGAUCCAGAAGUUCUUCUUGGGUUGUCCCUGCCCUCCAUUACCAUGUCUUCUUCAGUCUCCUGGAAUGGAUCUCUCCAAAUAUCUCCUUCGAAGGCGUCAACUGCCUUGGUUACUAAAUGAAUGGUUUCAAAUGUCAGACCCUUCCGUGUGUAUGAAGGGACAUUGGAUAUGCUCAUCAUUCUGAAGUCACUCUUGCUAUCUCUGCCCUGAAAACCACCUUAUAACCAUAGCCACUUUAAUUUGUCCCCUCCCCUAGCUUCACACCCCUGAGUCCUGAGAAGGAUCGGCCCCUUGGCAGGCCACUGGCAUUGAUUUGUGAGAGCCGAGUGGCUCAGGGCCCCAUCUGAAUGUAUGCUGUAUUAGCCAAGGUGUCAUUUUCAACGCAUGCUCAUUCUUUGAAGAAAGCAAGCCCCAAACAGGUGUUUAAAAUGAAAGAGUGUGCUCAGCAGAUUUCAGACAGGUGGAAAUAAAUUUAGCGAAC